rnacentral:rRNA from 1 species
AGCGAACGCUGGCGGCAGGCUUAACACAUGCAAGUCGAGCGGGCAUCCUUGUGGUGUCAGCGGCAGACGGGUGAGUAACGCGUGGGAACGUGCCCUUCGGUUCGGAAUAACUCAGGGAAACUUGAGCUAAUACCGGAUACGUGCGAGAGCAGAAAGGUUUAUCUGCCGAAGGAUCGGCCCGCGUCUGAUUAGCUAGUUGGUGAGGUUACGGCUCACCAAGGCGACGAUCAGUAGCUGGUCUGAGAGGAUGAUCAGCCACACUGGGACUGAGACACGGCCCAGACUCCUACGGGAGGCAGCAGUGGGGAAUAUUGGACAAUGGGGGCAACCCUGAUCCAGCCAUGCCGCGUGAGUGAUGACGGCCGUAGGGUUGUAAAGCUCUUUUCUCCGGGACGAUAAUGACGGUACCGGAGGAAUAAGCCCCGGCUAACUUCGUG